ACAAAAUUCCGACUAUCGGUCUACAGAGCAAUUUCAUCCGCUCGGUGAAAGAUCUUCCUUUUGUCGU
rnacentral:pre_miRNA from 1 species